GACGAACGCUGGCGGCGUGCUUAACACAUGCAAGUCGAACGGAAAGGCCCUGCUUUUGUGGGGUGCUCGAGUGGCGAACGGGUGGGUAACACGUGAGUAACCUGCCCUUGACUUUGGGAUAACUUCAGGAAACUGGGGCUAAUACCGGAUAGGAGCUCCUGCUGCAUGGUGGGGGUUGGAAAGUUUCGGCGGUUGGGGAUGGACUCGCGGCUUAUCAGCUUGUUGGUGGGGUAGUGGCUUACCAAGGCUUUGACGGGUAGCCGGCCUGAGAGGGUGACCGGCCACAUUGGGACUGAGAUACGGCCCAGACUCCUACGGGAGGCAGCAGUGGGGAAUAUUGCACAAUGGGCGGAAGCCUGAUGCAGCAACGCCGCGUGCGGGAUGACGGCCUUCGGGUUGUAAACCGCUUUCGCCUGUGACGAAGCGUGAGUGACGGUAAUGGGUAAAGAAGCACCGGCUAACUACGUGCCAGCAGCCGCGGUGAUACGUAGGGUGCGAGCGUUGUCCGGAUUUAUUGGGCGUAAAGGGCUCGUAGGUGGUUGAUCGCGUCGGAAGUGUAAUCUUGGGGCUUAACCCUGAGCGUGCUUUCGAUACGGGUUGACUUGAGGAAGGUAGGGGAGAAUGGAAUUCCUGGUGGAGCGGUGGAAUGCGCAGAUAUCAGGAGGAACACCAGUGGCGAAGGCGGUUCUCUGGGCCUUUCCUGACGCUGAGGAGCGAAAGCGUGGGGAGCGAACAGGCUUAGAUACCCUGGUAGUCCACGCUGUAAACGGUGGGUACUAGGUGUGGGGUCCAUUCCACGGGUUCCGUGCCGUAGCUAACGCUUUAAGUACCCCGCCUGGGGAGUACGGCCGCAAGGCUAAAACUCAAAGGAAUUGACGGGGCCCCGCACAAGCGGCGGAGCAUGCGGAUUAAUUCGAUGCAACGCGUAGAACCUUACCUGGGUUUGACAUGGAUCGGGAGUGCUCAGAGAUGGGUGUGCCUCUUUUGGGGUCGGUUCACAGGUGGUGCAUGGCUGUCGUCAGCUCGUGUCGUGAGAUGUUGGGUUAAGUCCCGCAACGAGCGCAACCCUUGUUCACUGUUGCCAGCACGUUAUGGUGGGGACUCAGUGGAGACCGCCGGGGUCAACUCGGAGGAAGGUGGGGAUGACGUCAAGUCAUCAUGCCCCUUAUGUCCAGGGCUUCACGCAUGCUACAAUGGCUGGUACAGAGAGUGGCGAGCCUGUGAGGAUGAGCGAAUCUCGGAAAGCCGGUCUCAGUUCGGAUUGGGGUCUGCAACUCGACCUCAUGAAGUCGGAGUCGCUAGUAAUCGCAGAUCAGCAACGCUGCGGUGAAUACGUUCCCGGGGCU
rnacentral:rRNA from 1 species